UAGAGAUUUUGGAGGACACACAAACCACUCUACAGUGGAUUCCUACAAGAUUAAUAAAGUGUACUUCAAGCUUUACAAUAAGAAGUCAAGGAAGUGAAGGACUACAGCCACAUCCCAGCCCUUCAAAGAGCUGUCCUGCAGAAAAGGCUGUCAUCCAGACUGGAGCGGUCGGCCAUCAGUGAGCUCAGGAGACCAGAUGAUCCCAGGCGUCCAGGAGUUGUGUGUGAUAUUUUUGCGCCUCCCUCAGAAGUGUUGUUGCAGACACAAGUCAGCUGAGAAAUACAGCUUGCCUUAGGUGAAACUGAAUAUG